UCCCCUAUUUUACAAAAAUAGGAUGUCAACAGCUGCAGUUGAUUCUCAUGCAUUAUUUGUUCUCUCUUUUUAUGGUGGUUGCUUAGGGACUGUUAUAGUAUAGUAUUUAUUAUUCAGUUUAAGGAGCCAAAGUUUUGGAGUUUUACUUAAUCCUCUAUUGGGGGAUAAUGGUUAGGUUUUGUUCUCUUUCACGAGCCAAGGUUACGGAUUUCAAACUUUUACUCUAUACCCCUCCCAAUUCACAACAGAACUUGUUGACUGGGAACUUUUGACAUAGAGUCCAUGUAGAAGUUGGCAUUUCUAUUGAUGGUUCAGAUUAUAGAUAUGCAUAAAAAAUGAUCCAAUUUGUAAAUGUGACCAGAUUGUGGCAUAUAAUUUGUCAUGGAUUUCAUUGUAUAUCAAGCCAAAUCAAUCUCAAAUGACUUAACAUUCAAAUGUUGAUCUAAACAUAUUGCCAAGUACAUUCAUACGUUGCCAUAUAGAAUGUUAUCUCAAAUGAUUGAUAAAGUUCAGUGUACCUGGGCUAUGCCCAUCUUUAUCUUAAUAAAGCUUUUUAUUACCUAUCAAAAAAAAAAAAAAGAAAUGAUUGAUAAAGAGUUAUGGUUUGGAUCACCAA